rnacentral:rRNA from 1 species
AAUUGAACGCUGGCGGCAGGCUUAACACAUGCAAGUCGAGCGGUAACAGGGGGUGCUUGCACCCCGCUGACGAGCGGCGGACGGGUGAGUAAUGCAUAGGAAACUGCCCAGUAGUGGGGGAUAGCCCGGGGAAACCCGGAUUAAUACCGCGUACGCUUCGGGGGAAAGCAGGGGAUCUUCGGACCUUGCGCUAUUGGAUGUGCCUAUGUCGGAUUAGCUAGUUGGUGGGGUAAAGGCUCACCAAGGCGACGAUCCGUAGCUGGUCUGAGAGGAUGAUCAGCCACAUCGGGACUGAGACACGGCCCGAACUCCUACGGGAGGCAGCAGUGGGGAAUAUUGGACAAUGGGGGCAACCCUGAUCCAGCCAUGCCGCGUGUGUGAAGAAGGCUUUCGGGUUGUAAAGCACUUUCAGUGAGGAGGAAAAGUUGGUCACUAAUAUUGGCCAGCCUUGACGUUACUCACAGAAGAAGCACCGGCUAACUCCGUGCCAGCAGCCGCGGUAAUACGGAGGGUGCAAGCGUUAAUCGGAAUUACUGGGCGUAAAGCGCGCGUAGGUGGUUUGAUAAGCGAGAUGUGAAAGCCCCGGGCUUAACCUGGGAACGGCAUUUCGAACUGUCAGGCUAGAGUAUGGUAGAGGGUAGUGGAAUUUCCUGUGUAGCGGUGAAAUGCGUAGAUAUAGGAAGGAACACCAGUGGCGAAGGCGGCUACCUGGACCAAUACUGA